GUGCCUUGGUACACACACAAGAUAGAGAAGCGACGUCCUGUGGUUGAAACCAGUUAGUCUGAAGCAGAGAGUGACAGCAUGGCGGUCUACUCCUCAGUGAAAACUAAAGACCUCAGUUAUGAACAAGUAGCCAUCAGCCCAAAGAGAACCAGAGACUUUAAACCAGAGUCAGAGGUCGUCUACUCUUCACUGAAGUAGUCCACCAGUCCAACCACAGAUGUCCAGCUGCUGGUCUCUAACUGGUUCCCCCAGCACCUCAGACCAGAGAACAUCCACAUGUUACAGAUUUUAUUAAAUAUAUUUUAUGUCUUAAUCUCCUGUUGUUGGACCUG
ensembl:lncRNA